rnacentral:ncRNA from 1 species
UCUUAUUGAGAGUGGCUGAGGGAAUAGGCCCUGUGAAGCCCAGCAACCGUCUUUAUUGACAUGGUGCUACAUCCUACAGGGUAUAACCUGAAAGAUAAGA